rnacentral:lncRNA from 1 species
UUCAUUGGAUUUGUUUUUGUGAAUUCUUUGUGGAUUGAAUUUUUAAUGUAACUUGAGCUUUUUUGGUUUCGUUGAUGGUUCCUUUGUCAUUUUAUAUGUGGUUAUUUUAGAAAUUAUGGUCUUAGAUUGACCAUGUUUUAUUUGUUUUUAUAAUUCCGCUGUCUUUUAUUAUUACAUUCUUUUUUGGAUUUUGUUCUUUGUAGCGAUAGUCAAUAUUGGGUGUUACAUUCUUUGAUGUUACAUUUGGCUCAAUUUUGAAGGGAUAUGUUCUUUGGAUGUUGAUCAAUCAUUGUUUUCACUGGAUUUGUUUUUGUGAAUUCUUUUUGUGUUGAAUUUUUAAUGUAAUUUGAGCUUCUUCUUUUUUUUUCGUUGAUGAUUCCUUUGUCAUUUUAUGUGUGGUUAAUAAGGAUCUUUUCUGGAUUUUGUUCUUUGUGUCAAUAUUGAAUUUUACAUUCUUUGAUGUUACAUUUGGCUCAAUUUUGAAGGGUCUUGUUCUUUGGAUGUUGAUCAAUCAUUGUUUUCAUUGGAUUUAUUUUUGUGAAUUCUUUGUGGGUCAAAUUUUUAAUGUAAUUUGAGCUGUUUUUUGUUUCGUUGAUAGUUCCUUUGUCAUUUUUUGUGUGGUUAUUUUACAAAUUGUUGUCUUAAAUUGACGUUGUUCUCUUUAUUUCUAUAAUUCCAUUGUCUUUAUUAUUACAUUCUUUGAUGUUACAUUUGGCUCAAUUUUGAAGGUUCUUUUGCUAGUGCGUCGGGGCCGGGGCAGGAUUGAUUUUUUUGCCAUCGCUAGUUUCAUUGGAUUUUUUUAGUUGAAUCUUCAAUGUAAUAUGUGCUUUGUGCUAUGUUUGUGGUUCAUUUUUGAUAAGAGAGAGAACUUGUUUCCACACUCAUGGGAAAGGAAGGACAAAAACAAACAAGACGAACUAGAUUUGACCUUGUUUUGCUCUUUACAUUCAUUUUAAAGUAGUGAUGUAAAAACACGAUUUUUUAUUCUAUUUGUGCUUCAUGGAUAUUAGGAAGAGGAUUUGUUGCUAGGAUUCUUCCACGAACCUCAUCUAGGUUUCCGUUGAGCCGUAGAAGAAAUUUAUAGAUUCUUCUCUUCCCUACAUGUUUCUUGUGUCUUGCGGCAUCUCCUGGAGAUUCCAACUCAUUUUUCCUUGAUGCAAGUCAUGUAGGACACCUUCGAUCUCAAAUGAUUCAGCCAUAUUCUCAAGGUCUGAAUUUGUUUCUUUUGUAGCAUCUCAAUUUUCCUAUGCAGUCUGAUAGAGAAGGGAAUUUUCU